rnacentral:rRNA from 1 species
GAUGAACGCUGGCGGCGUGCCUAAUACAUGCAAGUCGAGCGAACAGAUAAGGAGCUUGCUCCUUUGACGUUAGCGGCAGACGGGUGAGUAACACGUGGGUAACCUACCUAUAAGACUGGGAUAACUUCGGGAAACCGGAGCUAAUACCGGAUAAUAUUUCGAACCGCAUGGUUCGAUAGUGAAAGAUGGUUUUGCUAUCACUUAUAGAUGGACCCGCGCCGUAUUAGCUAGUUGGUAAGGUAACGGCUUACCAAGGCGACGAUACGUAGCCGACCUGAGAGGGUGAUCGGCCACACUGGAACUGAGACACGGUCCAGACUCCUACGGGAGGCGGCAGUAGGGAAUCUUCCGCAAUGGGCGAAAGCCUGACGGAGCAACGCCGCGUGAGUGAUGAAGGUCUUCGGAUCGUAAAACUCUGUUAUUAGGGAAGAACAUACGUGUAAGUAACUGUGCACGUCUUGACGGUACCUAAUCAGAAAGCCACGGCUAACUACGUG